AAAACAGAACACGCUGUUGGUGCCAAACAGCGGCGGAGCAGGGUGUGGAAGGGAGCAUCUUUGAUGAUCUUUUAUGAAAUACAACGCGUACACACAUGGCAGACCAUGUCUUUCCUCAAAGAAUAGGGGGAAAGAAACCAUUUGUCAUCGACAGUCUCGCCAUUUCCUGUUGUCUUUGAGCGGUUACACGUUUUUCUCAAGCAAUAAGUGAUUAUCCCUAUGUGUACCUCUUCUGUGUACUUGCUGGAAUUGCAAUUUCAAAUAUUACCAAAGGUGUAACAAGAAGAAACCCUCACCAGCUUCACUGCCAGCACAGAACAAGCCUCCUUUCACCCACAUCUGUAUUUACCCACCCUCAGGAGCAAAUCCCCGGACAUCUCACCGUGGAGUGGCCUCGGUGUCUCCUGCUCUCUGGAUCUGAGUGUCCUGCAUCCUUGCAAGGUUCUUCUGGCCUCUAGCAGAGACCCUUGGGAAGUUCCUGGUCACCACAUCCACUGAAUCCCACUGCAUCAACUGAUGUUCUGCCCUUUGGUGAAUGGAGAGAGGAGACAGACUGCUGCUUCUCCCACCCAAGGCUAGCAGGUAUUUCGGAGGCAGGUGUGGGGCCUAGUUUCAUUUCUGUCGUUGUGAUAAAGUAUCUCAACCCAAAGCAACCUAGGGAGAGAAGGGUUUAUUUGACUUACAAUCUCAGGUUACAGUCUCUCGAUCAAGGGGAAGUCGAGGCAGGGACUCAGAGCAGCUAGCCAGUCAAGAGUAGAGAGAAAUGAACACAUCUCUGCUGCUUGCUAGGUUGCCUGUGCUCAGCUAGCUUUUCUCACUUAUACACUUCAGGAUUGCCUGCCCAGGGAAUGGUGCUACCCAUAGUGGACUGGGUGCAUCAUUAACAAGGAAGACCACCCCCCCCAUCCACACAUACACCAGACAUGCCUACAGGCUAACCUGAUCUAGGCUAUUCCUCAAGGGCCUCUUUCCAAAUGAUCCUAGGCUAUAGUGAGUAGACAUGUAAACUGACUUGGCAAAGUUGGGCUCAUCUCUCAGCGUGUAUUUUGGAGGAAGGUGGGGCUCAUCUUCUUAUGUUCAGACACAGGACCCAGCACAUAGUCUCAGUCUGGGGUACAAGUGGCUACUGUCCUCGGGAAGCAGUGUUAGCACCAGUGUGAACUGCUGAAUAAUUCCCAGCUGGUUUCACAUCUGUCAGGCACAGAGUGGCGUUUGCCACACCAAACAUGACUGUAAACCUGGCACGACUCGGACAGAUCAGCAGGUGGAGAACAUCCCUGCUUCCGGACGAGGCUAAUAUCCCAAUUUCAGAAUGUCAGAUCUGAGCCACAUGCCAGGUGGUGGCUUUGGGAGACAGUGAGGGAGAGAAGUGUAUCUCCCAGCCACCCUUCUAGAAUGUUCAAUCUUACAUCGCCAAGGAGCAUCUGUGAGGUCACACUCAGCCUCAGUCACUGUAACUUCUGGUCUACUCAUGUCUAGCCAGUCACUUGGAAAGUUUACUGGCAGCUGGCUUGGCCUGAUAACUCAUCUACCUCCAGAUUGGCAGAUCGAACAAGUCAAGGCCUGGCUGCUGGAGGAUCCCAGGAGCUCAGAGGGAAUAAAUAGUCCAGAGAGCAUCACACUCCAAACCUGUGUAGAGUCUCUGCUGUCUCCACUAAGAAGAGGGUUCCAGUCCCUCCCCUUGCAUCUGAGUGAGCUGGUGACUGUAGAUUUGCUGGACAGCCUGUCCCAGAGGUGGGACAGAGGGAGCGAAAGGAAAGAACCAUGUGUCAUUCACUUCUGGAUAAUGACAUUUUCCAGGGUCAUUUCCCUGAGAGAAAAGGAGGUUGAAGAGGGUGUCCUUGCGUCUCCUCCCUUUGAAAAGACCUCAGGUCGUGGGACCCAGAGUGUGGUUCAUAGAAGAGCUGAGGUUCUGGAACCUCUGGGCCUUGGGAGAUGUUUGUGGAGGAUGCCACUUUCAAAACUGCCCACAACAACUUGAGCAUCCUAGUCCCUUACACUGUACAUGACAUUCUGCCCAUUGAUGACUUUCAGUUGUGGAGUUUAAUCCAUGUAUGUCUAAAUUUCUUUCUGAAAAAGAAGAUCAUGCUAUUGUGUUCUUAAAAAAUUAUUUUAUGAAUAUCAAAACUUUCUUUUGGUGUCUUGAAUUCUCAUGAUUGUUUCCCCCCCCCUAUUUAACUGACUUUUAUGAUGCAACACUUGGAUUCAUUUCUCAUUUUUGGUGAUAUAUAUCCUAUGGACUUUUUUUUAUUGUUACUAUGGUGACUACAGCAGAUAUUCUAAAGUUAAAAAAAAUUCAUCUAUUCUCAGAAGUGCAUGAAAUCUUCUCUAAAACUGACUGUAUUGUAGGCCACAAGGCAAGACUUAAGAAACGCAAAAAUGAAAACAAUCCCCAAUGCAUCCCACAGUGGAAUAAAACUAGAAAUUGACAGCUAACCUCAGAAAAUACACAGACACCUUGAAACUGAACAACAUACUGCUGAAUUAAAAGUGGGUCAAAGAAAUCAGAUGGAGAAUUUAAAAACUGCCAGUAGUCAAAGGAAAAUGAGACCCAAACCAAACCUUCCAGAACCUGAGACACAGCCAAGGUGGACUUAAGAGGAAUGUUUACAAGUACGCAUAUAAAAAGUCAGAGAUCUCCAGUAACCCAGUGAUGUACCUCAAAGCUCUAGAAAAGCCAGAAGAGGCAAACCCAAGGGCAGCAGGUGGCCAGAAACAGUAAUGAGCAGGGCAGAAAUUAGUAAAACGGAGACUGAGAACAGCACAGAAUUAAUCAGACAAAGAGCUGGUUGUUUGAAAGGAUUGUCAAGGCUGGCCAUCCCAAGCCAAACUAACUGAUAGACAGAUUCAAAAUUAAUAAAAUUAGAGAUGGAGAAAGGAGUUGUUACAAUAGAUCCCAGUGAAAUCUAGAAGGCCAGGGAACACUAUGAACAUUCACAUCACAACAAACUGGAAAAUCUAGAAGAAAUAGCAGUGUAACUCUGACAUCAUAGCUGGGUAAAGACACAGCCAUCAAGAGAAUACCGCAGAUGAAUGUGGACGCAGAAAUCCUCAACAAAAUACCUUCAAAGUGAAGGGCAUAUUAAGAAGAUGGAUAGUACACCACUACCAAACUGGCUUCCUACCAGGGACACAAGGUUUGUUGAAAAAAUAUUAAUAAAUGUAAUCCACCACAGCAAUAGAGUUAUAGACAGAAAUUACAUGAUCAGAUGAAAAAAGGGCAUUUGAUAAAGUUAAUACAUCUUUAAAAAUACUUUUAUUUAUUUCUUUGGAAUUUCAUACAAUAUAUUUUGAU